rnacentral:rRNA from 1 species
CAAGCUACUUCUGAUUCCUUCGGGAUGAUGAGGUUAGCAGAAAGUGGCGAACGGGUGAGUAACGCGUGGGUAAUCUACCCUGUAAGUGGGGGAUAACCCUCCGAAAGGAGGGCUAAUACCGCAUAAUAUCUUCUCCUCUAAAAGAAGAGAAGAUUAAAGGUGGCCUCUAUACUAUGCUAUCACUUCAGGAUGAGCCUGCGUCCUAUUAGUUAGUUGGUGGGGUAAUGGCCUACCAAGGCCACAAUGGGUAGCCGGUCUGAGAGGAUGUACGGCCACACUGGGACUGAGAUACGGCCCANACUCCUACGGGAGGCAGCAGUGGGGAAUAUUGCGCAAUGGGGGAAACCCUGACGCAGCGACGCCGCGUGGAUGAUGAAGGCCUUUGGGUUGUAAAAUCCUGUUCUGGGGGAAGGAAGCUUAAGGGUCCAAUAAACCCUUAAGCUUGACGGUACCCCAAGAGAAAGCUCCGGCUAAUUAUGUGCCAGCAGCCGCGGUAAUACAUAAGGAGCAAGCGUUAUCCGGAAUUAUUGGGCGUAAAGAGCUCGUAGGCGGUCUUAAAAGUCAGGUGUGAAAUUAUCAGGCUUAACCUGAUAAGGUCAUCUGAAACUUUAAGACU